CACAAAAGUGACUAAUAGUCUUGUUGAGGUUCUGGAGAAGGUAUGAUCAGGUUCUCUUCCUUCUCCCUCUUGCUUGACUCACUAUAGACAGUAUGUUGAGCAUGGAUACAUCAUGCCAAAUAUUUCCCCCCAGUCUGUAAAGUGUAACUGACAAUUGUGGGUUUUUUAACGUUUUGGCAAAUGCCUCCAAAGGUGCUAUGUCCACUUGCACUGUGGCUCCUUGGAGAAAAAGGAGUGGGAGAUAAAUUUACCUGAACCUCUUUCUCCUCCAUGAUGCCUUGCUUUUCUUGGGCUAUAUCUUCAGCUCUUGUAGGGUUUAUCUGCCUUUAAAGGAUCACUAUAGGAUCAGGAACACAAACACGUAUUCCUGACCUUAUAGUGAAAACCCCCCCUUAGCCCCUCAGAAUGGUUUAAAACUGACCUUAUUUUAUAUAUAUAUGGUGACAUCAUCAAAAUGGCCGAUUUUUAGCCAUUUCCCAUGGGGAAAGCAUUGGAUUGGCUAAAAUCGGCAAGGGGGUAGGGACAAACACUGUUUUGGCCACUCAGCACCUCCUCAUAGAGAUGCAUUGAACCAAUGCAUCUCUGUGAGGAAAAUUCAGCGUCCUCAUGCAGAGCGUGGGGACGUUGAACGGCAGGGCUGCUUACUGUGCAGCCCUGAGCCAGGAAGCCCCUCCAGGGGCCAUCUGAGGAGCCAUCUAGGGGCAAUGUAAACACUGCCUUUUCUCUGAUAUACUUUUCUCUGAAAAGGCAGUGUUUACAUGAAAAUUCCUGAAGGGAGCUAUUAUACUCACCAGAACAACUACAUUAAGCUGUAGUUGUUCUGGUGACUAUAGUGUCCCUUUAACUUUCAUUAAUUUUUACAGGUAUGAGAGUACAAAAGAUGUUUCAACAGAACUUUCUUUGAGACUAGAGGAUCU